rnacentral:rRNA from 1 species
UGGGGAAUCUUGCACAAUGGGGGAAACCCUGAUGCAGCGACGCCGCGUGAGCGAUGAAGCCCUUCGGGGUGUAAAGCUCUUUCGUCAGGGAAGAUAGUGACGGUACCUGGAGAAGCAGCUGCGGCUAACUACGUGCCAGCAGCCGCGGUAAUACGUAGGCAGCAAGCGUUGUUCGGAGUUACUGGGCGUAAAGGGUGUGUAGGCGGUUCUUUAAGUUCGCUGUGAAAUCUCCCGGCUUAACCGGGAGGGUGCGGUGAAUACUGAGGGACUAGAGUACGGGAGAGGAAAGUGGAAUUCCUGGUGUAGCGGUGAAAUGCGUAGAUAUCAGGAGGAACACCGGUGGUGUAGACGGCUUUCUGGACCGUAACUGACGCUGAGACACGAAAGCGUGGGUAGCAAACAGGAUUAGAUACCCUGGUAGUCCACGCCCUAAACGAUGCAUAUUUGGUGUGGGCAGUUCAUUCUGUCCGUGCCGGAGCUAACGAGUUAAAUAUGCCGCCUGGGGAGUACAGUCGCAAGGCUG